UCGUCACCGCUCCCUCUCUCUCUCUCUCCAACCUCUAAUCUCUAGUUCACUUGCCCAUAAUCCCUCAUCAUCGGCAGUUUUUGGAGCUCGAAGCCGACGAACACGAAUUCCUCGUUCCCUUGCGUCUAAUCCCUCGUUAGUGACGAUUUUUGGUGCCUGAAGUCGACGAAGAUGAACAGGUUUACAAGUGGGGGUAAGGUGAAUGAUUUCACGUUGAUGAAUUAAAGUUAAAGAGGUUCUAAAAAUGCUUCUCCUCGGGCUACCAGACUACAAGAAAGAAGAAGAAAAAAGAACGUUGAUAGAUUGCAAUCUGUUGGAGAUGCUA